UUACAGAAGAAUUUAAUUUUGGUUCAGAUUGAACGUUAUUCAGUAGUUUAAGGCAUGCAAAUCAUUUUAAUAAAAUAUUCUAUGAAAACUUCAACUUGGUCUACUGGCACUAGAAACUUUGUUGGUUCACAAGUUAAAUAGAAUAUUUAGGUUACAAGGUGUAGAGGUGAGUAAUAUUAAAUUAGAUACCCAUUAGCAUCCGUAAAUAGGAUAUAAGCAAAGAGAUAAGUCUCGCUAUUGGAUUUUAAUUUAACUUGACUAGGUAGUUGGUGGGGUUAAAGGCCUACCAAGCCGACGAUCAAUAGCCAAUCUUGUAAGAGACAAUGGCCACAUUGGGUUUGAAAUCGACCCUAGUAGUUAUAAACUACCAGCAGCCGAGAAUAUUUGUCAAUGCUCGCAAGAGUGAACGAGCUAACUGAAAGAAUAUAUAAUCUAAAGUUAGGAAUCUUAUAAAAUUUAUUAUAAGUUUAAAGACGAAUCUAACUAACAGUGUCGUCCAAAUUCUGGUGCCAGAAGACUCGGUAAUACCAGAGACGCGAACGUUAAUCAUCUUGAAUGGGCAUAAAGGGUUUGUAGGCGGCUUAUUUAUUAAUAGGCUAGAAUCUUAUAGAGGUUAAUAAAAUACUUAGAGGAGGGCUGAUAUCCUUAGAUCCUAAGUGGAAUCCUAAUUGCGAAGGCCAUUUUCCACUACAGAUUGACGCUGAUACACGAAGGUUAGGAUAGGAACUAGGAUUAGAGACCCUAUUACCCCUAACUGUAAACGAUGAAUGGAAGAUAUUUACAACUGUAAGUGUCGAAGUGAAUACGAUAACCAUUCCGCCUUGCCAGUAUACUUGCAAAAGUGAAAACAAAAAAAUUAGUCGGUCCUAAAGCAAACGAAGUGAAGCAUGUUAUUUAAUUCGAUAAUCCGCGUAAAAUCUUACCACUUCUUGAAUAUUAACCUUAAUAUUAAGGUCUUAACCUAAGGGUUUGGGAUAAAUAAUUUAAUAAAUAAGUUAUUUAUUAUAAUACAGGUGUUGCAUGGCUGUCGUCAGUUCGUGUCAUGAGAUGUGAGGUUAAUUCCACUAACGAACGCAAUCCCUACUAUUAAUUAAAGUUUAAUAGUGAUUUUUUGAUAUAAGAAAUCUUUUUGGGGCUAAGACAAGUCCUUAUGACCCGAAUGGAGUGGGCUAUAGACGUGCUACUAAAGCUCAGGACAAAGUGAUGCAAUACUAACACCUUUUCUUAAUUAUCGGUUAUAUUUAUAUAAUUAGUAUACUAAGGAUAGGAAUACAGAGGAGCUAAUCACAAAAACUGGCUAUUGUUUAUUGCUAUUUACUGAUUGUUGCCUGGAACUCGGCAGCAUGAAGUAGGAAUUUCGAGUAAUCGUUGAUCACUAACGCAACGGUGAAGUUUUAAUUUAGGAUGAACUAACUGUCUGUCAAUCGGGAGAAGCUUUCCAAUAAGGAAGAAAUGGAAGUCAGGUCAUUAUUCUGAAUUACGCAAUGAUGUAUUCACCUCUCACCCAAUCACUCCCGUUAGGGAGUAUCAUUUCUCACUUUUCACCCAACAGGGUGUGUGGGAGAUGGGUGACUGAAAGGUGAGUAUUGCCAAAUUCAUUGUUUUAAGCUAAGGAUGGAAGAUGCUGAUCACUGGGUCCAGUUAUUGUGAGUGACAUUCGAUAAGUCAUAGCAGGGUAGCCUUACUGGAAGGUGAGGCUGUAGUAUAGUUUUU
rnacentral:rRNA from 1 species